GUGCUUGCUUCAGCAGCACAUAUACUAAAAUUGGAACAAUACAGAGAGGAUUAGCAUGGCCCUGCACAAAGAUGACAUGCAAAUUCAUGGUGUUCAUUUAUUUAAU
ensembl:snRNA U6 U6 spliceosomal RNA